rnacentral:lncRNA from 1 species
GUAUCUAAUACAUAAUAAUUACCAAACAAUAAUGUAUCGAUCUCAAGCCUAAAAUCUUAUGGGCAACACUUUCUUAUUUAAUGUAUCUAGUAGAAAUACAACACUUCUUAAUUUAAAUUGAAAGGAUCUUCAUGAUUCAAUAAUUUUGAAUCAAAAUUAAAAGGAUCUCCAAUGAACUAGGAGAAUAAUUUUGAAACUCAAAAUUUUCAACAAUUUUGAAUCAAAACGGAAAGGAUCUUCAAUGAACUGGAGAAGAAUUUUGAAUCUCAAAAUUUUCGACAAUCUUGAAUCAAAAU